AUACGGAGGGGGCUAGCGUUGUUCGGAAUUACUGGGCGUAAAGCGUACGUAGGCGGACUGAUCAGUUGGGGGUGAAAUCCCAGGGCUUAACCCUGGAACUGCCUUCAAUACUGUCAGUCUUGAGUUUGGGAGAGGUGAGUGGAAUUCCUAGUGUAGAGGUGAAAUUCAUAGAUAUUAGGAGGAACACCAGUGGCGAAGGCGGCUCACUGGCCCAUUCCUGACGCUGAGGUACGAAAGCGUGGGGAGCAAACAGGAUUAGAAACCCUAGUAGUCC
rnacentral:rRNA from 1 species